rnacentral:misc_RNA from 1 species
AAUUAUGACGUUGCAUCACUGUAAACAAACCCACCCAGUACAAUGGCUGAAUCGGCAGUAGGUGAUAAAAUGUCAAGGACAUAGUGUCAACGAUAGAGAGCAUUUAACUUUUAGUAAGCGCAUCAUACUAGAAAUACCAGCAACUGGUGCAAUGAUUAGGAAUCCAUUUAAGAAAGCUUUCUCAAGUCGGAAAACAAAACAGGAAGAUGUACAAUUUGAGGCAGAAGUCCAAAAGCUUCACCAUAUGCAGUCGGCAUCUAAGAGGCUGUACAAAGGAAUGACAAAAUGUCUGGAAUCUGAAUCAGCUCAAGCACGUGCAAAUGCUAAGAUAUUCAGUGACCUUCAUUCUUCGCCCUCUUCAAAAACAGAGCCACUCAAAUCUAUUGUGGAUAGUGCUGGGAGCUGUUUUGAUGAGCUACAGUCACACAGCAAAGAACAUAAAUCAAGACAAGAGAUAGUAUUCUCUGACCCUAUUAAAAGAUUCCAUAAUGUUUAUAAGCAUAUUGAUGUACAUAUAAAGCAAAGGGACGCUAGGCUACAGGAGCUAGAGAGACAGCAAGGUAAACUAGAGAAAAGACAGGCAUCACAGUCUGCUAAACUGGAGCUGUAUCAUUUUUAUAGACACAACGCAAAUUAUCGUCGGCAAAAUCAGAAUUUGAGAAGAUUAACAGUCAACUAAUGACAGAGCUACCACAACUGCAUGAAAAGAGAGUUGAUGUAUUUGAUCCUUGUCUUAAAGCAAUGAUGUCUUCAGAGUUACUAUAUCAUCAAAACUGUGCCAAUACUCUAAGAGAUUGUCUCGAAAGCAUAAAAUCACAGUUGGCAACUCCA